CUGCUGCCUCCCGUAGGAGUCUGGGCCGUGUCUCAGUCCCAAUGUGGCCGUCCACCCUCUCAGGCCGGCUACUGAUCGUCGCCUUGGUAGGCCGUUACCCUGCCAACCAGCUAAUCAGACGCGGGCCCAUCUCGCACCACCUGGGUUUUUCAGGGCAGGGGCAUGCGCCCCCGGCCCGCUAUGCGGUGUUAGCACCUAUUUCUAAGUGUUAUCCCCCAGUGCGAGGCAGGUUGCCCACGCGUUACUCACCCGUCGCCACG
rnacentral:rRNA from 1 species